GGUUUGUUUUCAAUUAUACUUGAUGCAAAUUGCUGAAAAAUGCUGAAAAACUCGAUUUUUUGGCUUUCCGGGCACUGGACUCGCCGAGUCCACUGAUGAACUCGCCGAGUCCAUGAGUAAAAUCAUCCUACUCGCCGAGUAGGUUCACGCACUCGACAAGUAGGAGCCCCAGACAGCAUAUUUUCGAGGUUUUUGGCUAGAAAUGGACUAGGAACAUUACCCUAAGUUGUUUUUGAACUUAUAAACUUGUUUUUUGAUGUGGUAAUGUUCAUGCUAAUCCAUUUUCAAAGAUAAUUGUCAAUAGAUUCAUGUUUUGUAUUAGUUUAAGGUUUAGACUAAUUACAUGAAAAAGUUUGAUUUGAAUUAUCUUGUUCUUAUGAGUUGCUUAGAUUAAUAGAAAAGUUGAGUGAAAUAGUUGUUUUCAAUCCAAAUUAAUCUAAGAGUUGAUUCUAAAAUGUGUUUUUGUAACUUGUCCUCAAGUUAUAUGAAAAGUCACAUU
rnacentral:lncRNA from 1 species